rnacentral:rRNA from 1 species
AUUGAACGCUGGCGGCAGGCCUAACACAUGCAAGUCGAGCGAGCGGCGGACGGGUGAGUAAUGUAUGGGGACUGCCCGAUAGAGGGGGAUAACUACUGGAAACGGUAGCUAAUACCGCAUACUAUCGGAUAACCCAUAUGGGAUUAGCUCGUUGGUGAGGUAAUGGCUCACCAAGGCGACGAUCCCUAGCUGUGCUGAGAGGAUGAUCAGCCACACUGGGACGGAGACACGGCCCAAAAUCCGACGGAGGCAGCAGUGGGGAAUAUUGCACAAGGGGCGCAGGCCUGAUGCAGCCAGGCCGCGUGUAUGAAGAAGGCCCUAGGGUUGUAAAGUACUUUCAGUCGGGAGGCGUUACCGACAGAAGAAGCACCGGCUAACUCCGGGCCAGCAGCCGCGGUAAUUC